ensembl:lncRNA
GGGCAGCAGAUGUCCUGACUAAUGGGGCAGCUGCCAGUGGCUGUGGGUCCUGGUCCAUCACUAUUUACAAACCUAUGGGCCACUGUCAGCACAUUAAAGGAGAAGAGGGAGAACAGCUGCCUCUCGUUGCCUUGUUUGCCUGGGUCUCUGGGGAGGGAGGGGUCCUGCUUUCUCACCCCAACCCAUCCCUUUGGUGACUCAGAGUCGCAGAAGGAAACCCUGACUCCUGGGGCCAUUUCCUAAUGGUACUGUAAGCCAAGCAGCUCAGUUUCUGCCUCUGUUUCCAAGCCCACCCCUUCCCAGAGGGAUAGGGACAGGGUCUACUGGCUUUCCUCCAGUUGUGUCUAAACGGAAGGAACAUCUUUCUGUAGCUGACAAAACUAAAAGGGAAGCCACGAAACAGAAGGAAAGGAGUGUGGCAGGGGCUGGGGUAGAUUCCCCUAAGCCAAGCCCGCCCAGCUACUAAGAGCUGCUUCUCCUUGAACUUGAAAGCUUUUCCCUUCCUCCAAGAUGAUGUAGGUACGGGAGGUUUGGGUUAAAGGGGUUGGGUGGGGCAGGCUUUAUUUUUAUUUUCGUAUUGUGUGUGUCAAGAAUGACUCCAUUGUUCAUGUUGCUUUUUGCACUGUUUGUUCCCCUCUGUGUUUUGAGCUAGAACAAGGAGUUUGCCUGGGAUUGGGAGCUGUGAGUGGUGCCAGUCGGGGAGUGGGCUGGAGAGGCUCAGGGGUUCUGUUUUGAGCUAUCCUCUGGCCCGGGAUGUAGAGAGAAGGACAAGAUAGCAGAGGGUGGCUCUGUGAAUGUUUUGGGAGGAGCAAUUGAGGACAGCUGGGUUGAGUCUGCAGGUUCAGUGUGGAUGAGGUCAGUCAGGGGCCAGCUGGCCUCUGCCUGCUUGCUUUAGGUCUUAUUCAAACUAUCUUAAGUAUUGUGCCAAGAAAUGGUUUGUGGGACUCAUGUCCCCUAAACCAUUAAAUCUGUUGUUUGGAAAGUCUGCAGUCCUGAGGAGGAGCUGCUCACUAGACACCCACAGAUCUGGCAGUUUAGAAGGCAGCCCUCAAGGGCCCAUCGUGUGAGAGGCACUGCCUGUUGACUAAGUAUGUGACCUUUUUUUCCUGCUCCUGCUGAGUAGGAGAUCCCAGGGUCACGUGAACCUCAGUGAGAUGGGUAGGGUUGAGCUGUGUUUGACUCCUGCGUUGUGUGGCUGGGAGCAGUUUUAGAAUUGUGGUUUGACUUUUUAAUUUUGAGAAGCUUCUGUUUUAAGGAAUUUCUCCUUCUUGUCUCAUUCCCGCCUCUGCUGGGAAAGCCUGGCCUGGUCUAGAGUCUUAGCUAAGGAUCUGAGAAAACAGCCGCAGUAUUUCCUUCUCUUAGCACUCAGAGCCCUCUUCUUAGAAACUGGCUCACCUUUCGGAGUCCAGGGAGGAGUCAGUAGGGAGUCAGUGGGUUCUCUCUCCUCCCUGGGAACUGGUCAGCCCCGGUCAGCACAGUGCCUUUUCCUCUCCUGCUCUGAGUCAGGUGGGCAUCCCCUCUAGAUUCAGGUCUGGGCAGGGGUCUGAUAGUCCCUGCUGUGGGCUGUUUCCCUUUCUCUCCCCCUCCUUGCUGGCCUACUCCGACAUAAUUCAAGUGUCUUCUUGCCUUGGGGAACCUUAAUGGAGUUGUGGCCACCACAUGUGACACUUCUCUGUGACUCUAUAAAGACCUAGGAGAGCAUGUGAGCAUUUUCAAAUGAGAGACCUAACAGAUGCUUCUGCUGUUAAAAGACAGCUAGGGAGGUGACUUUGGGUCUCCUGCUGUGGCCUCUGAAGAAGGUGAUUCUCAGGUGAGACUGAAGAUACACAGACAGACUGCAGACACCCAGGAUCUGCUCAGAGAUGGCAGAAGAGUUCAGCCUCUCCUCUAGGGAAGAUGUAAUUAGGGAUCAAAGAGUGCUAAGAAAAUUGCAAAGAAGCCUUACUGCUCACGCAGAGAGCUCAGGGCAGCUUUAUCCUCCAGGUGGAACUAAAACUGUUAGAUUCUCCAACACAGGAGAGGAGCAAGGGCUAGGUUUCCUGAUGAUGGUAGCUGACUAGCGUAGUGCUGUGGUCAGUUGCCAGGGAGGGCCAGUUCCUUUGUAUGUGUAUGGCUUGCUGGCCGGCCGAUGUGUCUUUCCUGGGCUGCUUUUGCCUCCUUUGCUCUCCGUGGCCAGAUCAUCGUGGUAAGAGCAGACUUGGGGACUGGUUGGCUUGGCAGGAAAAGAACAGAGCGCAUCUCUUGGGAUGGGCUUCUCUCAGGAGUGUAAAACCAAGGGGCCGGGAACAGUAGUGCCUGUGGAAGCUGGCAGAGAAGCCUUGGCGCUCACAUCCAGCAGUCUUGUGUGACGGGAGCACGCAGCAUCGGGAAGAGCAGAACUCCAUCCUCACCUCUAUUUUGAGCUUCGUGCUUUAUUUCAGUCUGAGGGAAACAACAACAAACUGGAGUGCGUUUCCCGUCCUUUCAAAGGACAACUGUCAGGAAGCCUCAACGGUGCCAGGUGGGAGGGGAGACUUGGCAAGGAGAGAUGUCAUGGCAAAACUAGGAAAAGAGACAUUCUUAGCUCUUCUCUUUCCUGGUGUGCCAUGAUCCAGGGAAUGAAAAGAAAUUUGACCCUGGAUUAGUUCCUUCAUUGGAGUUACGGAACGUUACCUUUUCUCAAAGUUCCCCCAGGAUUGGAUGGCUGUCCAUUCUCAGCUCAGGGUAGCCUCUUCAACCACUGUUGGCCCAGCCUGGCUUGUCCCUCAGUAUGAACUUGGCUGCUUUGUGUGGAAUCCAGUUCUGGAGAGCAGGCGUCAAGUCCUUAGCCUUUGUAGCGCUUUAUUCUUUCCAUCUCUCCCUGCGAGGCCAGCCUGACUCGGCCACGCCAUGCAUCUACAGCAGCGUGGCAAGGUGUAGUGAGGGACCUUGAACCUGGCUGGCCAGGAAAGCAGCAGGGGUAGGUAGAGCUGUCGCUCCUUCUGGGCUGUCUCCAUCCGUCUCUAUCCCUUCCAUGCCCCACCCACUCCCACCAAAAAGUAAGAAGUCAGGAUGUUUUCACUGUCCAUUGCUUUGUGUUUUAAUAAACAAUUUGCAGUGA